UUCACGUCGGGGGUGUUUGUG
rnacentral:miRNA from 1 species